rnacentral:rRNA from 1 species
UACGAAGGGGGCUAGCGUUGCUCGGAAUGACUGGGCGUAAAGGGCGCGUAGGCGGUUUGGUUAGUUAGGCGUGAAAUUCCUGGGCUUAACCUGGGGGCUGCGUUUAAUACAGCCAGACUUGAGUGUGAAAGAGGGUCGUGGAAUUCCCAGUGUAGAGGUGAAAUUCGUAGAUAUUGGGAAGAACACCGGUGGCGAAGGCGGCGACCUGGUUCAUUACUGACGCUGAGGCGCGAAAGCGUGGGGAGCAAACAGG